rnacentral:rRNA from 1 species
AUUGAACGCUGGCGGCAGGCCUAACACAUGCAAGUCGAGCGGAUGAAGGGAGCUUGCUCCUGGAUUCAGCGGCGGACGGGUGAGUAAUGCCUAGGAAUCUGCCUGGUAGUGGGGGAUAACGUCCGGAAACGGGCGCUAAUACCGCAUACGUCCUGAGGGAGAAAGUGGGGGAUCUUCGGACCUCACGCUAUCAGAUGAGCCUAGGUCGGAUUAGCUAGUUGGUGGGGUAAAGGCCUACCAAGGCGACGAUCCGUAACUGGUCUGAGAGGAUGAUCAGUCACACUGGAACUGAGACACGGUCCAGACUCCUACGGGAGGCAGCAGUGGGGAAUAUUGGACAAAGGGCGAAAGCCUGAUCCAGCCAUGCCGCGUGUGUGAAGAAGGUCUUCGGAUUGUAAAGCACUUUAAGUUGGGAGGAAGGGCAGUAAAUUAAUACCUUGCUGUUUUGACGUUACCAACAGAAUAAGCACCGGCUAACUUCGUG